GAUGAAGAACGUAGCGAAAUGCGAUAAGUAAUGUGAAUUGCUGAAUUCAGUGAAUCAUCGAAUCUUUGAACGCACAUUGCGCCCGCCAGUAUUCUGGCGGGCAUGCCUGUCUGAGCGUCAUUUCAACCCUCAUGCCCCUAGGGCGUGGUGUUGGGGAUCGGCCAAAGCCCGCGAGGGACGGCCGGCCCCUAAAUCUAGUGGCGGACCCGUCGUGGCCUCCUCUGCGAAGUAGUGAUAUUCCGCAUCGGAGAGCGACGAGCCCCUGCCGUUAAACCCCCAACUUUCCAAGGUUGACCUCAGAUCAGGUAGGAAUACCCGCUGAACUUAAGCAUAUCAAUAAGCGGAGGA
rnacentral:misc_RNA from 1 species